UGUGUCACUUCCGGCCUCCCUUUAGCUGCCAUCUUGCGUCCCCGCGUGUGUGCGCCUAAUCUCAGGUGGUCCACCCGAGACCCCUUGAGCACCAACCCUAGUCCCCCGCGCGGCCCCUUAUUCGCUCCGACAAGGUACAAAAAGGCUCUGGACGGCGGCGUGGUAGGAGGACGGGAGCGGGGGCGGGAAGUUCCCUGAAGGAGCGAGACAGGGAGGGACAGGGCAGAGGAGGAGAGGAAGGCGAUGCGACGGACAGGCGCACCCGCUCAGGCUGACUCUCGGGGGCGAGGUCGAGCCAGGGGCGGCUGCCCUGGGGGCGAGGCGACGCUGUCUCAACCUCCACCUCGCGGCGGAACCCGAGGACAGGAGCCUCAGAUCUUGUGGAGAAUUUUGAUGAGGCUUCCAAGAAUGAGGCAAACUGAAUUGAGUCAACUUCUGAAGAUAAAACCUGAAGAAGUUACUGGGAGCUGCUAUUUUAUAUUAUGACUGCUUUUUAAGAAAUUUUUGUUUAUGGAUCUGAUAAAAUCUAGAUCUCUAAUAUUUUUAAGCCCAAGCCCCUUGGACACUGCAGCUCUUUUCAGUUUUUGCUUAUACACAAUUCAUUCUUUGCAGCUAAUUAAGCCGAAGAAGCCUGGGAAUCAAGUUUGAAACAAAGAUUAAUAAAGUUCUUUGCCUAGUAUACAGUUUUAUUUUUUUAUUUCAUUGACACCGAUCUGUACACAGUAAAAAAAAUUGCUUAUAGAAAGCUAAUCAUGGCAUGUAAUAUGGCUGAUAACCUUUGGAAUUUGAUUAAAGAUUUAAAAUCAC
rnacentral:lncRNA from 1 species